rnacentral:rRNA from 1 species
GACGAACGCUGGCGGCGUGCCUAAUACAUGCAAGUAGAACGCUGAAGGAGGAGCUUGCUUCUCUGGAUGAGUUGCGAACGGGUGAGUAACGCGUAGGUAACCUGCCUGGUAGCGGGGGAUAACUAUUGGAAACGAUAGCUAAUACCGCAUAAUAUUGACUAUUGCAUGAUAGUCAAUUAAAAGGUGCAAUUGCAUCACUACCAGAUGGACCUGCGUUGUAUUAGCUAGUUGGUGAGGUAACGGCUCACCAAGGCGACGAUACAUAGCCGACCUGAGAGGGUGAUCGGCCACACUGGGACUGAGACACGGCCCAGACUCCUACGGGAGGCAGCAGUAGGGAAUCUUCGGCAAUGGACGGAAGUCUGACCGAGCAACGCCGCGUGAGUGAAGAAGGUUUUCGGAUCGUAAAGCUCUGUUGUAAGAGAAGAACGAGUGUGAGAGNGGAAAGUUCACACNGNGACGG